rnacentral:rRNA from 1 species
UGGGGAAUCUUGCGCAAUGGGCGAAAGCCUGACGCAGCAACGCCGCGUGGAGGAUGAAGGCCCUUGGGUUGUAAACUCCUGUCGGCUGGGAAGAACUCGUUCGCGACUAAUACUCGCGGACGUUGACUGUACCAGCAAAGGAAGCCCCGGCUAACUCUGUGCCAGCAGCCGCGGUAAUACAGAGGGGGCUAGCGUUAUUCGGAAUUAUUGGGCGUAAAGGGCGCGUAGGCGGCUUUGCGUGUCUCCCGUGAAAUCCCUCGGCUCAACCGAGGACGUGCGGAAGAAACUGCAAGGCUCGAGUCCGGAAGAGGGGGGCGGAAUUCCCAGUGUAGCGGUGAAAUGCGUAGAUAUUGGGAGGAACACCAGUGGCGAAGGCGGUCCCCUGGGCCGGAACUGACGCUGAGGCGCGAAAGCGUGGGUAGCAAACGGG